UACGUAGGGGGCUAGCGUUGUCCGGAAUCAUUGGGCGUAAAGCGUGCGUAGGCGGCCCGGUAAGUCUGCUGUGAAAGCCCCGGGCUCAACCUGGGAAUGGCAGUGGAUACUGGCAAGCUAGAGUGCGGUAGAGGGUAGUGGAAUUCCCGGUGUAGCGGUGAAAUGCGUAGAGAUCGGGAGGAACACCAGUGGCGAAGGCGGCUACCUGGACCAGCACUGACACUGAGGCACGAAAGCGUGGGGAGCAAACAGG
rnacentral:rRNA from 1 species